GGAGAUGCUACAGAAGACAUUGAUCAUUCGCUCCUGACGCAAGAGUCUGUUACAUUGCGAGGUCUGUUAUAACAAAAUGGGACUUGGCCCAGAUUAUGAGUAUAUGCAGAACUAGCGGAAAGCAGCUGGACUGCCGCCGGAGAGCUUACAUGCUGUACUGCAGCUCCAGACCACCGUUGCAUCUUCUGCAAGAACCGAAGCUUGCAUCAACACAAGCUGGAGAGCAACAACAGCUACAUGCAUGACCAUGGCAUGAGAGUGUCUUGACAAGAGCAGAAAC